rnacentral:lncRNA from 1 species
CCGUAUUGUGCUCAGAAUUGGAAAAGGAAUACAGAGACCUUUUCAUUGUGUAUACUUCCACCUACGGCAAAGGAUAGGUGUUUGUGAAAGCAGGCUUCUAAAAAUUUUUUAAAAAAAGUACUUAUCAUUCACCAGGAGUCUGCCAGCACCAGCAAAACCUAAGCCACCAACCACACUUCUCUUUGUGUGCCAAAUCCCGUUUAAUAAUUCAGUAGCCACUAUGCACCCGGCUGUGUUGCAAGCUUGAGAUGUGUUGGAGAAUAAAUCAUCUGCCCUGCUCUGGUGGCUAUGAUAUGCAGAGGGUUAAGGGUGGGCUGGAAGAAGGGAAGCCGCACACACCAAAGGCAGAUUGCUGGGAUGUUAGAAGAGAUCAGCGAUGAAGAAAAAGACAAAGGACAUGGACAGCUGGAGCCUGGAGCCCUAGUGUCUGACCCAGGUUAUAGAAUGAAACAGGGUAUGAUGCUCUAGAAGCUGUCUCUGUAGGAUACAAUGAAGCAGCUGGUCAGAACAAGAAGAAAAUAAACUCAAUUCCAAAGUCAAGAGAGAAGAGCUUUGGGCAUUCAUAAAGGCAAUGAUAGUG